rnacentral:rRNA from 1 species
GACGAACGCUGGCGGCGUGCUUAACACAUGCAAGUCGAACGGAAAGGCCCUGCUUUUGUGGGGUGCUCGAGUGGCGAACGGGUGAGUAGCACGUGAGUAACCUGCCCUUGACUUUGGGAUAACUUCAGGAAACUGGGGCUAAUACCGGAUAGGAGCUCCUGCUGCAUGGUGGGGGUUGGAAAGUUUCGGCGGUUGGGGAUGGACUCGCGGCUUAUCAGCUUGUUGGUGGGGUAGUGGCUUACCAAGGCUUUGACGAGUAGCCGGCCUGAGAGGGUGACAGGCCAAAUUGGGACUGAGAUACGGCCCAGACUCCUACGGGAGGCAGCAGUGGGGAAUAUUGCACAAUGGGCGGAAGCCUGAUGCAGCAACGCCGCGUGCGGGAUGACGGCCUUCGGGUUGUAAACCGCUUUCGCCUGUGACGAAGCGUGAGUGACGGUAAUGGGUAAAGAAGCACCGGCUAACUACGUG